GACGAACGCUGGCGGCGUGCCUAACACAUGCAAGUCGAGCGAAAAGACGCCUUUGGGGGUCCUCGAAUGGCGACCGCGUGCGUAACAGGUGAAUAACCUGACCUUGACUUCGGGAUAAGGUCAAGAAAGUGGAACUAAUACCGGAACGGAAUCCUUGCUGCAACCGCAGGGUUCAAAAGCUUCAGCGGGUUUUGCUGGACUCGAGGGUUAUCAGCUUGUUGGUGGGGCAGUGGCUUACCAAAGCGUUGACGGGUAGCCGGACUGAGAAGGCGACCGGCCACAUUGGGACUGAGAUAAGGCCCAGACAGCGACGGGAGGGAGCAGUGGGGAAGAUUGCACGAUGAGCGGAGGCCGGAUGAAGAAGCGCUGCGUGUGGGAUGACUGCCUUCGGGUUGUAGACCGCUUUCAGAAGGGGCGAAGCUUGUGGUGACGGUACCUGCAGAAGAAGCACCGGCUAACUACGUG
rnacentral:rRNA from 1 species